CGAACGCCGUAGCAAUACGGAGUGGCAGACGGGUGAGUAACACGUGGGAACGUACCUUCGGUUCGGAAUAACUCAGGGAAACUUGAGCUAAUACCGGAUACGUGCGAGAGCAGAAAGUAUUUAUCGCCGAAAGAUCGGCCCGCGUCCGAUUAGCUUGUUGGUGAGGUAAUGGCUCACCAAGGCGACGAUCGGUAGCUGGUCUGAGAGGAUGAUCAGCCACACUGGGACUGAGACACGGCCCAGACUCCUACGGGAGGCAGCAGUGGGGAAUAUUGGACAAUGGGCGAAAGCCUGAUCCAGCCAUGCCGCGUGAGUGAUGAAGGCCUUAGGGUUGUGAAGCUCUUUUGUCCGGGAAGAUAAUGACGGUACCGGAAGAAUAAGCCCCGGCUAACUUCGUG
rnacentral:rRNA from 1 species